CUCGUACACAAUGAGUGACAUAACACACCAUAUUGAAAUUGCCAUACGAUUUGACAUCUGUCAAAUAAAUAUUGUGAAUGUUGAAAUGUAUGAAAUAUUGGCUACAUUGUGUGUACGACUAUGUAUGAUUGUGGCACGGGCAUUAUGGACUAACAUUUACUCGAAUUUUCGGAACA